rnacentral:RNase_P_RNA from 1 species
UCAGACGGCCGGGCGGUCGCGGCCCUUCGGGGUCGAGGAAAGUCCGGGCUCCACGACGACAUGGCGGUGGGUAACGCCCACCGGGGGUGACCCCAGGGAUAGCGCCACAGAGAGCAGACCGCCCUUUUCCGCAAAGGCUUCGCAGGGCUCGCCCUCCGAAGCAGAGCGAAGGAGGGUAAGGGUGAAAGGGUGGGGUAAGAGCCCACCGGGCCGCUGGCGACAGGGGCCGCAUGGCAAGCCCCGCCAGGAGCAAGACCGAAUAGGGAUCCCGCGCGCUCGCAAGAGGGCAGGGCCGUCGCCGGCCCAGGGGUCCGGGUAGGUCGCGAGAACCGGCCGGCAACGGCCGGUCCAGAGGAAUGACCGCCGCGUCUCCGCAAGGAGGCGGCACAGAACCCGGCUUACAGGCCGUCUGAUCUC